rnacentral:rRNA from 1 species
GAUGAACGCUGGCGGCGUGCCUAAUACAUGCAAGUCGAGCGAACAGACGAGGAGCUUGCUCCUCUGACGUUAGCGGCGGACGGGUGAGUAACACGUGUAUAACCUACCUAUAAUACUGGGAUAACUUCGGGACACCGGAUCUAAUACCGUAGAAUAUAUUGAACCGCAUGGUGCAAUGGUGAAAUACGGUUGUGCUGGCACUUAUCGCGGGAUCCGGGCCGCAUUAGCUAGUUGGUACGUUAACGGCUUACCAAGGCGACGAUGCGUAGCCGACGUGUGGGGGUGAUAGGCCACACGGGAAGGUAGACACGGUCAAGACUACUACGGGAGGCAGCAGUAGGGAAUGUUAGGCAAUGGGCGAAAGCCUGACGGAGCAACGCCGAGCCAGAGAUGAAGGUCUUCGGAUCGUAAUGAUCUGUUAUGAGGGAAGAACAAAUGUGUAAGGAAACAUGCCGGUAUUGACGGUACCUAAUAAGAAAGCAACGGCUAACUACGUG